GUUCCCCGACUAGGUCUCUGCCGCGAGCCCGGCAGGUCCCUCCGACCUAGGUGCUCGCUGCAGCCCGCUGUCCCCGUCAGGCCUAAGGCAGGGUCUCUUUCUCCCUCCUCUGCAUCCCUUUAGCCCCCGCUGCCUUGGGCACGUGGGAAAGAAACGUGCAGACGCGGAUGUCCCCGCGUUGUCCCGCCGUCACUUAUUAGAUGGCCGCCGAGCCCCUGGUUGUCCGGAUCGGAACCUUCCCUGAUGCUCUUCUUCUCCCCUCCCCGCCCAGCCCCAGUUUAGUGAGAGCAUCGCAGAGAGCGGAAAGUGGCCCGUUCUCUUUACGUGGACGAGGGGCGCUUUUGGGGAAGGGCAUGGAAGCGAGGAGCGGACGGAUUUUCUGAUCUCUUUGAGAUAUGGGCACCGGCCUUUGCCCAGCUACAUUCCCAGGUACCUCUUGCUAUCACCGACCUCACUGACCUUGGGCCCUCAACUGGGAUCCUUGCAGAACAGAAAGUUCUAGCCCGCUCGCUGCUCACCCUCAGGUCACAGCAUCCCCGGGACCUCCCCCUGGGCCGAUGGCCAGAUCAUCUCUCUCCCUACUCUCCAUCUGAGUGUUUUUAGGCCGGUCUAAGCUAAACACCCAAGCCCAAGGGACAUUUCUGUUUUCUUCAUUCAUUCGACAAAUAUUCAUUGACCAGCUAGCAUGUGCUGGGCUCUUGUUCUGGACAAACAAGACCCAAGUCUCUACCUUCCUGGAGUUUCUAUUCUAAUCAGAGAGAUCCAGAGGGACAGCAAACAAGCCCCCCACGUAACCUCUACACCUAACCUGGGGCUUGAAUUCACAGCUCCGAGAUCAAGAGUCACAUGCUCUACCGACUAAGCCAGCCAUCCACCCCUGUCUGUAUUAUUUUCGCAACUUUUCAGUAAAUCAAAUUAUUUUAAAAUAAAAAGUUUUAAAUGAUAA